rnacentral:rRNA from 1 species
CUGGCGGCAUGCCUANACAUGCAAGUCGAACGGCAGGCACGGGAGCAAUCCUGGUGGCGAGUGGCGAACGGGUGAGUAAUAUAGUCGGAACGUGCCCGGUCGUGGGGGAUAACGUAGCGAAAGCUACGCUAAUACCGCAUACGAUCUACGGAUGAAAGCGGGGGAUCGCAAGACCUCGCGCGAUUGGAGCGGCCGAUAUCAGAUUAGGUAGUUGGUGAGGUAAAGGCUCACCAAGCCGACGAUCUGUAGCUGGUCUGAGAGGACGACCAGCCACACUGGGACUGAGACACGGCCCAGACUCCUACGGGAGGCAGCAGUGGGGAAUUUUGGACAAUGGGCGCAAGCCUGAUCCAGCCAUGCCGCGUGUGUGAAGAAGGUCUUCGGAUUGUAAAGCACUUUAAGUUGGGAGGAAGGGCAGUUACCUAAUACGUGAUUGUUUUGACGUUACCGACAGAAUAAGCACCGGCUAACUCUGUG